rnacentral:tRNA from 1 species
ACCUACUUGGAGAAAUCGGUAAACUCGAAGAAUUUAAAAUUCUUUGCAUAUAGCUUGAGGGUUCAAGUCCCUCAGUAGGUA